rnacentral:ncRNA from 2 species
UUGCGCGGCUUGAUGUGUGGUGCCUGCUGCCAGAGCAAUGACGAGUCUGUGCUGAGCAGGUUAAACGGGAAGUCCUUAAUUGGCGCUGCCCCCGCAACGGUCAACAGACCCUGAGUCUGUGAGCCCGAUACCGGCCCUGCAUCUGUCAUCGCG